rnacentral:rRNA from 1 species
AUACGGGGGGUGCAAGCGUUAAUCGGAAUUACUGGGCGUAAAGCGCGCGUAGGCGGUUUGCUCAGUCGGAUGUGAAAGCCCAGGGCUCAACCUUGGAAUUGCAUACGAUACUGGCAAACUAGAGUGUGAGAGAGGAUAGUGGAAUUUCCGGUGUAGCGGUGAAAUGCGUAGAUAUCGGAAGGAACAUCAGUGGCGAAGGCGACUGUCUGGCUCAACACUGACGCUGAGGUGCGAAAGCGUGGGUAGCAAACAGGAUUAGAAACCCUAGAGUCC